rnacentral:rRNA from 1 species
GACGAACGCUGGCGGCGUGCUUAACACAUGCAAGUCGAACGGAAAGGCCCUGCUUUUGUGGGGUGCUCGAGUGGCGAACGGGUGAGUAACACGUGAGUAACCUGCCCUUGACUUUGGGAUAACUUCAGGAAACUGGGGCUAAUACCGGAUAGGAGCUCCUGCUGCAUGGUGGGGGUUGGAAAGUUUCGGCGGUUGGGGAUGGACUCGCGGCUUAUCAGCUUGUUGGUGGGGUAGUGGCUUACCAAGGCUUUGACGGGUAGCCGGCCCGAGAGGGUGACCGGCCACAUGGGGACUGAGAUACGGCCCAGACGCCUACGGGAGGCAGCAGUGGGGAAUAUUGCACAAUGGGCGGAAGCCUGAUGCAGCAACGCCGCGUGCGGGAUGACGGCCUUCGGGUUGUAAACCGCUUUCGCCUGUGACGAAGCGUGAGUGACGGUAAUGGGUAAAGAAGCACCGGCUAACUACGUG